ACACCCUCAAGCUCUGCUUGGUGUUGGGCGUCUGUCUCCGCUUCACGCGAGGACUCGCCCCAAAUUCAUUGGCAGCGACAUCGUCGGCUUCUCGCGCAGCACAUCGCGCAUGGGAAGGUCCCCGACGGGCUCGCGUCCAUCAAGAAAUCACACA
rnacentral:misc_RNA from 1 species